AGCCUCAGCCUAGAUGAAAUGGACACUACUGUUCAUGGUGUCUGGAAACUGCUAAUGUGGCUACACAGAGCCCCAGGCUAUGCUUUCAUCACGUGAUUUUAUUGCAAUGGUGACCUGUAACAUUC